GAACCUUCAGAGACCAUCAUCCUUCUCACCCUGCAGAUGCUGAACACAGAUGAAGGGUAGGGACAAGAAACUCUUCCGAUUGUUUGUUUGGUUGUGGUUCCUGUUGCAUGUUGAGUUUAAGUUUUUCUCAAUAGAUGCAGAUGUUGUGGAGGCCAGGAAACAGGAUUGUCCCGUUUGUGCCACAGGGUAGAGAGAGAUUUCUUCUCCAGGGGAAGGGACUCUGCCACAGAAGCGAGAGGCAAAGAAAGUCUGUACGGACUGCAGUGUUCUGAAAACAUAAGCAUCUGGACACAACAGUGCAUGAAUACUGAGUGCUCUAAUGUCAGCUGAAAAAAGAAGAAAGCCCCAUGAUUAAAUAGAUUUUGAGUCUUGCUAAGUAUUACUGAUGUCUCCAUGCAGCCUACAUACUUAAUGGUUGAUUAGAUGUGGACUCCAUCAUUUUCUGUUACUCAGACUUUUUUAUAACUCUAUAGAAACAGCAUUGACCUGAUAUAUCUGGGAAAGGAGAAGAAUGUAACCCAAUUAGAGUAGUUCGUCAAAGCAAAAAUUGCACGGGACAAGGUUAAAUGGGCAAAGAAGACUGGAAUCAAAGGUUUUUCAACAGAGGAGGGAGAGCAGGACUCAGUCUGAACUCAACUCUUCUGAAACAAAGAGCAGUGGGUUCAAUUUGCUGGAAUGAGCUAGCGAAAAAGCAGUGUAGGAUGUGAGGGGAGAAGUUCGUCAGUGGGGUGGGUCCAGCACACUGCAUUAUUCCUGAGUCUGCAAAUGUUUAUCUCUGUGAUUAGGCCAUCUGUGUUUGCUAAUUGUCACUCACUGAAGUUAGGUUCCUACCCUCCCACAGAGACCAGGAGAUAAAAACAUUAUCUUCCUUGAUGAUCACAUUUCAAAAGCAUGGAUUCCAGGUUCUUGAGAAAGACAUUCCUGGGUUGUAAAAGUGGCAAGAGACUUUUAAAAAGAGUUCCACGUAUCUCAAAGACGCAGAAAAAAAUUGAUAAUUACAAGUUUUCUACAGAAAAUGCUCAAAGGAAAGAGAGACCAUGGGCCAAGAGUCAGGAAGAAAUUUGUCUAAAGCUCAGUCAAGCUGAGAGGAACAUUAAGGCCACCUUGGACAAGUCCACGAACUAGGUAUUUGAGGGAUUAUUUAAAACUACAUGAAAGAAAGAGCUAUAUUAAAUAGUUUUUUAAAAAGACAAAAAACAAAACUGCAAUCAUAAUAAACAAAGGACAGGAUCCAGGACACCAAAAAUAGGCACCUCACGAAGGAGUCUUCAUGGGAAAGUCUGACACAGCUGCACAUGUUCACCUACAAGCUACGGACGAGCUCCUAAGUGCAUCAGGCUGUAUCACAGCUUAUUGCUGAUCCUGCUUAUUCCAUUUCC
ensembl:lncRNA